CAAAAGCGGAAGGGAUCGUAGCGGAAAUCCUUUCCGCAGGAAAGAUUGGAGCGGAGAGCCCGGUCCGCG
rnacentral:sRNA from 1 species